UACCUUAUUCCCUUUUUCACAUCUUUGUAGCUGAGACCAAAGAUGUUAAAACUGCUAAGAGGGAGACUACACCUGCAGAAACAAUUAUUGUACAUCAUAGAAUAGAUUUGCAGAGCAGAGCAGCUGGUGCCAAGGACCUGAUGACCACAGGAGAUCAUAUGGAGUGUUUUUACUUCAGCUCAGUCCUCAUCUGUCUCCAAAGCUCCAAAUGCCCAUCUGCAGACAGAAUGUCCUAGAUGUAACUUCAAAGCUUUUCCAUGAAGCCAGUUGCUAUUAAAGUAUUUCCAGUAAAAGUACCUAUUCAUUAUUCAGGUGGUGAGGCACUGGAAC